ensembl:snRNA U1 U1 spliceosomal RNA
ACAAUUUUCCCCAGAGACCAUGAUCAUGAAGGUGAUUUUCCCAGGGCAAAGCUCACCAACUGGAACGUAAAUGUGCUUAACCCUGUGAUUUGCUUAAAUGUGGGAAAUCCAAUUGCAUGAUUUGUGAAUAUGGAGGAUUAUGUCUACAUCUUCUCUGU